GCGGAAGAAAGGGAAUCGCCGCCCGCCUCUCUCUUCGGCUGAAGGACUUUGAGUUUAUUAUUAAACUCCGACCCGAGAGAGCGAGCGCGGAGAAUUUUGCUUUAAAUGUAAAACAACAACAAUGUACAUUGCUGUACCGGGCAAUGAAGUCUGUGAUGAUGAUUACUAUUGAAAUGAGUCAUACCACAAUUUAUGUGACCUUUCUCCACAAUGCAGUGAAAGCGCUGGGUAAAACGUUCCAGAAAACAACUCAGCAUAAGUUUUGAAGGUUUUGUUUAUGUUUUACUUGCAAUGAAGAAAAUAAAGAGAUACUGUUACAGGGUGAUACAUGACAGAUUCCAUAAACUUUAUACAAAUUGGCACAAUCCAAAUGAACAGCG